UACGGGGGGGGCAAGCGUUGUUCGGAAUUACUGGGCGUAAAGGGCUCGUAGGCGGCCAACUAAGUCAGACGUGAAAUCCCUCGGCUUAACCGGGGAACUGCAUCUGAUACUGGAUGGCUUGAGUUCGGGAGAGGGAUGCGGAAUUCCAGGUGUAGCGGUGAAAUGCGUAGAUAUCAGGAGGAACACCGAUGGCGAAGGCAGCUUCCUGGCCCAAUUCUGACGCUGAGGUGCGAAAGCGUGGGUAGCGAACGGG
rnacentral:rRNA from 1 species